GACAGAGAUCUUGUUUUGCUUUUAGUUAGUUUCAGCUAGCUAGGGCAGAGAAGUUCCCUGGACUGUUUUUUUUCUUUUUUCUUGGGACUGUUUAAACCUGCUCUGGACUGAAAACCCAGGGGAGCACUGGGGGUUUGCACCUGCGGCCCACCGGGGCCUGGACCUCGGCAUUUUCCAGCAGCGCCGGAGGGACUGGGACUGAGGAGAGACUGAGAGAGAGACGAGCUACACCCACGGCAAGGACUUUCUCAAUUUGCCAUCUCACUUCAGAAGGAGAGAUGCAGCACGAAUAUCAAAAUAGAAAAAAAUUAAUAGACCAACUGGAUUCUGCCUUGCCAGAUUAAUUCCACUAAGGUCCACAUGUGCUGCAGGCCUAUUGUGUACCAAUUUUUGUGCAGUUAAGAGCAAGCGGUGGUGGAGUGAAGAACAUAUGAGAACAUGGAGACACCUUAAGACAUUUUGGACACCUGCCAGCAGAUUCAGUCCAAGGCGAGAAGAGGAUGUAAGGGACAACUGGUUUUUCCUCACCUUUCAUUAAGAG